rnacentral:rRNA from 1 species
AGUGAACGCUGGCGGUAGGCCUAACACAUGCAAGUCGAACGGCAGCACAGUAAGAGCUUGCUCUUACGGGUGGCGAGUGGCGGACGGGUGAGGAAUACAUCGGAAUCUACUUUUUCGUGGGGGAUAACGUAGGGACACUUACGCUAAUACCGCAUACGACCUACGGGUGAAAGCAGGGGAUCUUCGGACCUUGCGCGAUUGAAUGAGCCGAUGUCGGAUUAGCUAGUUGGCGGGGUAAAGGCCCACCAAGGCGACGAUCCGUAGCUGGUCUGAGAGGAUGAUCAGCCACGCUGGAACUGAGACACGGUCCAGACUCCUACGGGAGGCAGCAGUGGGGAAUAUUGGACAAAGGGCGCAAGCCUGAUCCAGCCAUACCGCGUGGGUGAAGAAGGCCUUCGGGUUGUAAAGCCCUUUUGUUGGGAAAGAAAAGCAGCAGGUUAAUACCCCGCUGUUCUGACGGUACCCAAAGAAUAAGCACCGGCUAACUUCGUG